rnacentral:rRNA from 1 species
UACGUAGGGGGCUAGCGUUGUCCGGAAUCAUUGGGCGUAAAGGGCGCGUAGGUGGCCCGACAAGUCCGUGGUGAAAGCUCGACGCUCAACGUCGAGUCGGCCAUGGAUACUGUUGGGCUGGAGCACUGUAGAGGCUCAUGGAAUUCCGGGUGUAGCGGUGGAAUGCGUAGAGAUCCGGAAGAACACCGGUGGCGAAGGCGGUGAGCUGGGCAGUUGCUGACACUGAGGCGCGACAGCGUGGGGAGCAAACAGG